rnacentral:lncRNA from 1 species
UCAUCUCUGUUUCUAGGCUUCCUUAUACUAUGUUUGGCUUUCCAAGUUUCUUUCCGUUUUAAAGUCUGAAUUCAGAGCUGUGCAGGUUUGCAUUCCAGCAGUGAAUGUGUUAUGGAGAGAGGGUGUACUCUUCCGGAGCCGGCAAGUCUGGACUGAAGCCCAGCGUCCCCUGAUGUCUCUGUGAGGCCACUGUCAAGGGAACCCUGGAUCAGAUCCUAUGAACAAACCCUUGUGUGUGCCAAUCACAUCCACAGCAUUGGUUCAAGUUGCUAUGACAGGUGCGAGGUAGAAGAAACCCAGAAGAGCUUCGUGGACUGUGAUGAUGUGGUGGUAUCUUGGAAGAAGAGCUUAAUGCUUCAACUUCAGCAGCCACUGUCAUCUUUCUGGCUAAGACAUCGCAAACUUUGUCAUUGUUUCCUUGAUUAAUUUUUUGGUAACACAAUGGACAGAUUUUUAACCACAGAAUAAAUCCUUAUAAUAAAUUUGACUUGCA